AUGGAUACUGCUGUCAUUCAGAAGGACUUGGGCCUUCCAGUUGGAGAAACAAUAUUCGGGAAAACAAUACUUAUCAUGGGGUUCGGAGCCAUUGGCAUGGAAAUUGCCAAGAGACUAAGACCAUUUGGAGUGAAAAUUCUUGCUACAAAAAGAAACUGGUCAUCAAAUACAGUGUCUUGUGAUCUUGAUGGGCUGGUUGACAAGAAAGGUGGUCCAGAAGAUAUGUACGAACUCGCUCGAGAAGCUGACAUAGUUAUAACUUGCAUGACGUUAAACAAUGAAUCAGUUAAUUCUUCUCUAUGUUCAUUUAUUUAA
rnacentral:rRNA from 1 species